CUGGUUUAGUAAUAACAUUAUUAACAGUUGUAUUGUUAAAUUUUAAUAAAAAUAAAAAUCCAGU
rnacentral:tRNA from 1 species